CCCUCACCUUACACAGAUAACCUUUAUUUUCCAGCUUUGGUGAGCCAAUAGGAGGAGGGAAAAUCCUGCUGGGACCGACACACGCACACUCUGAAUGUAAAAAUGUUUUCUUAAAAGAUUGUGAGAUAAGAUGAUGUGUGGGAGACACCUUAUUAGUGAACGUGUUGAUAAUUACUACUGCAGUGUGGACUAGUACUGAGAAAUGACCGACCCUGAAGAAGGAGGCUUCGUAAUGUCUCACAGGACCCACUUGUGCCUCACUGCUGUGACUCUGGUUGUGUUGCUUAUAGCAGCCUGUACACUUGGAAUCGUACUAUCACAAAAAGAUAAUAAACCAUCAGCAAUCAAUCAAGAUCCACCUUCCAAACUUAAGCCAGGUAACAAUGGGAAACCCUAUGCUUUUCUCCAAG